UUUCAGAAAGUGAUAUUUCUUAUUCCGACUACAAUCCGAUCUCGGAUCAGCUCUUCCCUUAGCGCGCCAAACUGACAGUGUUCUGCUAGUUUGUGAACAGCUGUGAUAAAACUGUUGGUGGUUUCACCCUGCUCCUGUUUGCGCAUAUUAAACCUAGUUCUCUCAAAAAUAAUGUUGUGUCUCCCUACAAAAUACGUUUCAAAACAGUCUUUAACGGCACUGUAGUUAAGAUUCUCUUCCUCGGUCAACGUUGAAGCAUUUAAUAUAUCCUCAGCUUCAUCACCCAUAGAGUAGAUCAGUGUAUUAACUUGAAAUGCCUCGUUUUUCACGUUUAAGCCUGAUGCUACACUGUACCUUUCAAAGGGCCAUUUCGGCCAGUUUUGAAUGUGCAUACAAACCCGAAAUCCGUCAGCACUAGCCACUGGCCUGUCCGUGUUUGCGCCAGAGUCCGUUGAACUUGGAGUCGCAAACCCUGAAAUCCCGCCAGCUUCUUCCUCUUGCAAACAUGUUGCUUAGCAGUAACUUAGUCAUUGAUCGUUAGCUAGCAAAAUAAUGAUAUGCGCUGUUUUAUCUCCAACACUGUGCCCUCCCUGCUUUGAAACAGCCUGAAUGUAUGAUUUACUUGGUACGUCCUUCACGUUUAUGUGAAUUUUAAAACUACUUCUGACACCAUGUAGUAUGAUCUAAAAUAAUAUCUCAAAGCAAAGUUGUUGCCUGUCAGUUUGUAUGGAAUAUGGAACUCUGCUUUGGAGAAAAGCAAGACUGGAAGAGAGGAGUUUGUGAUAGACUUGAGUUCCAUAUUUAGCCACAGGGGGGCAACAGUGUCCAAUUUAUCAGGGAAACCCAGUUGCCAGUACGGUAAUGCCCUGGUGUUUGCAGCCCAGUAGUAAUGCUUAAAGAUGGGUAGGCCUAAGUCGCCACUUUCCUUGGGCUUUUGCAAGUGGGCUUUACGAAUACGGUGUUUUUUGUAACCUUAGACAAAUGACAAGAUUGUCCAGUCCAAAGUCUUAAAAAAUUAUGAGGUAAGAAAAAUUGGGAGAUUCUGGCAUAGAUAAAGGAACCUGGGGGGAGAAACCGUUUCUAUGGCAUUUGUGCGCCCCAUCAUAGAAAGAGGCAAUAUUCUCCAGCUCUCUAUGUUUUGUUUUAACUUUGCAACCAGUUCACUGUAGUUUAGCUUGAAGAUGAGCUUUGGAUUUUUAGACCCAGGUAAGUUAAGUGGGUAUGCAGCACUUUAAAUAGUAUCCUCUCUAGCUCACUUGUUGUCAAAUUAUCUGCGAUACACAUGAGAUCCCCUUUUCCCCAAUGUAUUGAAUAGCCAGAUAGUUUGCGAAAUUAAUUGAUUAAGUCUAGUUGUUUAGGGACAGAGGCUACUGGGUCGGAGAGGUAUAAAAGUACAUCGUCUGCAUAUAACGAAAUGCGGCUUUCUAUGUUUCCUACUUUCAGACCUUGGAUAUUAGGAUGAUCCCUUAUUUGUAUCGCCAGGGGUUCAAGGGCGACAGCGAAGAGCAGAGAACUGAGUGUGUACCCCUGUAGGACAGAUCUAUGUAGUUCAAAGGGACUGGAUGUGUCGCUGUUGGUCAGAAUAGCGGAUGUUGGGCAGGCGUAGAGCAUUUUGACCUAGGUGAUAAAUGAGUCGCCAAAUAUAGUGAGUGCUUCAAACAUAUGACCAUUCUAUUUGGUCAAACGCUUUUUGAGCAUAUAGCGAUAUAACAGCCGCCUUGGAGCCCCUCCCCUGAUUUGCACAAAGAAUGUUCAGCAGCCUGCGCACAUUAGAAAAACAGAACUUGCCGGGGAUAUACCGUCUGAUCCAAGGAAUAAUGGUUGUUACAUGUUUGUUCAACCUAUUAGCAAGCACUUGUCAUUUUUUUAAAAUCGAAAUUAAGCAAUGCUAUCGGUCUAUAAUUUGCAGGAUCUGUUGCCUCUGCCUUUUUUUUAACAGACGGCAAAUAUUGGCUUCAUACAAUGAUUUCGGCAAAAUAUUAUUUUCUGUUGAAUCCGUGAUCAUCCUGAGUAAGAGGGGAGCGAGAGCUUCACUGAAGGUUUUAUAACAUUCACAGCCAAAACCAUGAGAGCCUGCAGCCUUUCCAGGUGGGAAAGCUUUUAUUGCCUCGAUUAUUUCCGCUGUUGUGAAAUUUGAGUUCAAUUCUUUUUUGGCGCUAUCAUCAAGUUUUGGCCGGCUGAUGGAAUCAAAGAAAGCGGAUAUAUUCAUCCAGAUGCUUUUGGUCUAAUGUAACUGAGUUAAAUUAUUUGAAUCAGUUGUUUAUCCUUUUAGGGUAUGUCAGCAAAGUGUCCGCCUUAGACCGGAUGUUACGGAUUGCUCUAUUUGCCUGUGAGCCCUUUAGUUGUCUAGCCAGUAACCUUUCUGGUUUGUCCCCUAGUUCAAAUUGUUUUUGUCUCAGCAUUAGUAGGAGGUUACUGACCUGUGAACCAAGAAUAGAAUUGUAUUCAUAUUUUAAUUUCAAAAUAUUGUUGUAGUCAACCUGCGAGAGUGAAGUUCUGUAUGUCUCCUCCAAAGCUGGGAGUUUUUUUUUUCUAUCUCCUCCAACCGACUGCGAUUCACUUUUUUUUAAUAGCAGACUCAUAUGAAAUAUGACCUCUCAUAACCACUUUAAAAGUUUCCCAUGGUGUAGAAUCAGAUACCACUCCUGUGUCAUUAGUCUUGAGGAACUCAAUCAACUUGGCUGUCAUGCUGUCAAUGAAUGCUUGGUCUGUGAGCAAGGAGAGGUUAAAACGCCAUCUGUAAUAAAGUAUUGGUAAAGAAAGAUUGAGGGACAACAUAAUUGGACUGUGGUCACUUAUUAAGAUGCUAUGGUGUUUCGAAUUAAGCACAUUGGUUAUCAGUUUGGAAUCUAUUAGAAAGUGGUCGAUUCUAGAAUAAGACUUGUGAACAUGAGUAGAAUGAGUUGUUUUUGUCUGUGGGAUGUUGUGGUCUCCAGAUGUCCACUAGAUUCCUGGAUUUGAUAUGAUUAUUUAGAAUCUGGACAGAAGUGAUAUUAGAAGGAGUAUGUGUAGACUGUAGACAGUCUGUCAAGAUACGGAUCAAGGUAACAAUUAAAAUCGCUUCCAAUUAUUCGAUUAGUGGUACUAAGAUCUGGGAGCAAAUCAAAAACAUUAGGAAAGAAAUGUGGGUUGUCAAUGUUAGGGCCAUAAACGUUCAAUAGGUUGACAGGAAAAUAAUGAAUGUUCCCUGGUACAAUGAUAUACCUACCGUGUGGGUCUGUAGACAUGGAGGAGAGUUGGAAAUGGAUGUUUUUACGAAAGAGAAUAGCGACACCUCUAGCUUUGGGUGAUUGAUAAACUUGAGAAAUCCAGUUGGAUCUCAGAUGCCGCUGCACAGUGGCUUUUAUGUGCAUUUCUUGCAGGAAAAUUAUGUCAGCACCAAGUGAUUUCAAACGCUUAAAUAUCAUGCCCCUUUUGCGCGUGAGACCGUUCAAGUUCCACGAGACACAGCCUUAACAUCUGACUGAUUCCCGAGAUCGUUUCCUGACAUUUACAUCCAAGAGCAUUUAAAAUAAAACAUCUUAAGCAUGUACAAAUUAAAAUCAAACUUGUCUGGCAGCAGAAAACAAAAACCAAACAGGGUAACAGACCACAGAGAACCCCCCUCUCCCCACUGCUUCCCCAGAGAAGCCCGCUCUCCCCACGGCUUCCCAAGAGAAACCCGCCCUCUCCACGGCUUCCCCAGAGAAGCCCGCUCUCCCCACGGCUUCCCCAGAGAAGCCCGCUCUCCCCACUGCUUCCCCAGAGAAGCCCGCCCUCUCCACUGCUUCCCCAGAGAAGCCCGCCCUCUCCACUGCUUCCCCAGAGAAGCCCGCUCUCCCCACGGCUUCCCAAGAGAAGCCCGCUCUCCCCACGGCUUCCCCAGAGAAGCCCGCUCUCCCCACGGCUUCCCCAGAGAAGCCCGCUCUCCCCACUGCUUCCCCAGAGAAGCCCGCUCUCCCCGCGGCUUCCCAAGAGAAACACGGUUCUCCCCAUCUCACGUAAUUGAGGACCGCCAGGUAUGAUGGCUAGAACAGACCCAAUACUAUGCUAGUAACCUAAACAGCCCUCUCCGCGGUUGUUGGAAAACAAAAUGAAUACGUUACCGCUUAUGAAUAAACAUAGAAUCCACUGUUUGCUCAGUCAAUAUCCCAGAAAUGUGUGGCGAGUGAUUUCACCCUUUCAGAGGGUUUACUGUAGUUUUGAUAAGUAGGUUGCAGCCUCUUUGGCUUGGUGAAGACUUUUGUCAUGCUGUUGUGAUGAACAUGCAGCUUUGCUGGAAAAUGAAGCCCUCACCACCUGUAGAGUGCGGUGUUAUGGGUGUAAGAUGUAUUUGGUAGCAUUGCAUUUAAAUUGUUAAACUUGGGUCAAACGUUUCGGGUAGCCUUCCACAAGCUUCCCACAACAAGUUGGGUGAAUUUUGGCUCAUUCCUCCUGACAGAGCUGGUGUAACAGUCAGGUUUGUUGGCCUCCUUGCUCGCACACGCUUUUUCAGUUCUGCCCACACAUUUUCUAUAGGAUUGAGGUCAGGGCUUUGUGAUGAGCACUCCAAUAUCUUGACUUUGUUGUCCUUAAGCCAUUUUGCCACAACUUUGGAAGUAUGCUUGGGGUCAUUGUCCAUUUGGAAGACCCAUUUGCAACCAAGCUUUAACUUCCUGACUGAUGUCUUGAGAUGCUUAAAUAUAUCCACAUAAUUUUCCUACCUCAUGAUGCAAAUAUUUUGUGAAGUGCACCUGUCCCUCCUGCAACAAAGCACCCCCACAACAUGAUGCUGCCACCCCCGUGCUUCACGGUUGGGAUGGUGUUCUUCGGCUUGCAAGCAUUCCCCUUUUUCCUCCAAACAUAACAAUGGUUAUUAUGGCCAGUUUUAUUUUUGUUUCAUCAGACCAGAGGACAUUUCUCCAAAAAGUAUGAUCUUUGUCCCCAUGUGGUUGCAAACCGUAGUCUGGCUUUUUUAUGGCGGUUUUGGAGCAGUGGCUUCUUGCUUGCUGAGCAGCCUUUCAGGUUAUGUCGAUGUAGUACUCGUCUUACUGUGGAUAUAUACUUUUGGACCUGUUUCCUCCAGCAUCUUCAAAAGUUCCUUUGCUGUUGUUCUGGGAUUGACUUGCACUUUUCAUACCAAAGUACGUUCAUCUCUAGGAGACAGAAUGCGUCUCCUUCCUGAGCGGUAUGACGGCUGCGUGGUCCCAUGGUGUUUAUACUUGCGUUCUAUUGUUUGUACAGAUGAUCGUGGUACCUUCAGGUGUUUGGAAAUUGCUCCCAAGGAUGAAUCAGACUUGUGGAGGUCAACAAUUUCUUUUCUGAGGUCUUGGCUGAUUUCUUUUGAUUUUCCCAUGAUGUCAAGCAAAGAGGCACUGAUUUUGAAGGUCCAGAUUGAAACUAUGGAUUUCCACUUAGCUUCCAUCUGUUCUCCCUGAUUGCUCUCACCUGCGCGGAACCUGUGAAAUUUGCAGAUUGUGCCUCUGCUGUUGGUACGGUGGUGAUUGUGGACAUCCACCCUUGUCCUAAACAACCAUGCCAGCUCCAUAAAGGACAGGCCUAUGCUGUCAAUGUGACAUUCAAGUGGUAAAUACUGUUGUUUUUUUGUUGUUGUUUUUUUACCAGGGAACAGUGGGUUAACUGCCUUGUUCAGGGGCAGAAUGACAGUUAGGGGAUUCGAUCCAGCAACUUUUCAGUUACUGGCCCAACGUUCUAACCACUAGGCUACCUGCCUCCCCAAAAUAUAUAUAUAUCAUCAACCAAUUUGUUUUGUAGCCCUUCACAUUCGUACCCAUACUGGUUGAACAUUUCAGAUUUGGGCACUGAUAAGCAGCUAUUGGAAUGCUGUGGCUGUACAGUAACAUGCUAUAAAUGAUGUCAGAGCUCAAACUCUGCGCUUCACAGCACUGUAUGGGUUUUCUGACAGCCGUUCUGAACUUGAGCACCGCACAUGACAAGAAGUUGGCCCCAACCCUCCAGCUAAUUGGGUAACUUGUGCAACAAAAAACAUUCUGCCAGCUUUUUGUGCGUAUGGGAGACAAGUUAGUCCUCUCACUCAAACCCUUGUCAGUUUAUUUUGUUGCACCUACCCCACAUUUCCUAGGAAUCUUCUUAUGUUACUGAAUGAGUAUUUCCAGAAUUUGUUACCUACAAAUGUGGUGGAAAGUAUAGUAAAUGUAAAAUGCACAUAAAAUCAAGUGUAAUGUUUGGUUUCAGUCUUGUGUCUGGUGAACUGUUGCAUCCUCAACUUUGGUCUAAUAAUUUCCCCAUAAUCUCAAAACUGUUCCCUUUCAAUUGCUACCAUGCUUAUGCAUAUGCACAUCAUAUUUCUUCUGUAAGAAGCGUUUAAAUUUAGCCCUAUUCAUAUAGGCCAAUUUCCAUGAGUGUAAAGGUUUAAUUCAAAGUAAAUGUUGCCUAUAUUCUUUUUCAUCCUUCCUGCUUCUCGUUUUAGCAGUUGAGAGCCAGACGAGUAGAGCAAUUGUCCAUGGGGUGAUCACUCAUAUUCCCAUUCCUAUUGAAGACGGCUGCAAGUCUGAUAAAAGGGAAACGUUUGUGUAUUGUUUGUCCCAUAUACCGGACACAAUCUAUACAUUUGUCUAUUCAUUUCUAUACUGAACUAAAAUAUAAAUGCAACAUGUAAAAGUGUUGGUCCCAUGUUUCAUAAGCAGAAAUGAAAGAUCCCAGAAACUGAUGUGUAUUGUCAACCAGUAAUGGCUAGAUUUGUAAUUUUAUAAAAUCAGGAUUUCUAAAUUGUUUCAUCUAAUAAAAGUAUUUAAUUCAU